GCGGAUGAGCUCAGCUUGUUAGAGCAUGGUGCUGAUGACGCCAAGGUUGCAGGUUCGAUCCCCGUAAUAGGGCAGCUGCA